rnacentral:tRNA from 1 species
GCCUAGUUAGCUGGGUUGGUAGAGCAUCUGCCUUGUAAGUGCUAGGUCGCGGGUUCAAUUCCUGCCUGGGCG